AGUGAGCACUGUGUGGAAACCUGGAAAGCUCUAUGGUUCAUCCCAGAAGGAAGACUGGCGGUUCCUACGUAGAGAUAAUAGCCUUCUAAAGGUUUCAUUUGGAUGGAGUCCUUUUAUACCAGUAAGAGGGGUAACAGAAAUUCAUUCCUGCCUAGAUUUUCAUCUUUGAGGCAAAGGAUUCCGUUAAGUAUUGAACUGUUUAUUUUGUGAUGUCCAUGCUUGUCCUGUGAGAACUAGUGACAAGUGCAGUGCUUACUUGGUACUGGGUAACAUAGCACUUUUACAUCAAAGAAUUUUCAAUCACUCCAAGCCUAGACUAGAUUUUCCUGGUGACCCAGUACUGCUAUUUCCAGUUACCAUUUCUAUCAUUAAACCUUCCUCUUUAUUUUAGUCAAAAUCUGCAUGCUCUACCAAAUUUAGUGUCUUUUUUGCAUUGGCUUUGUAUUUGCAAGUAGCUUAUGAAAUUCUUUUUAGUUUCCCAUGAUAUGUAAUAAUCCUAGUUUACUAAACAUUGAACAUUUUAAAAAAAAUAGCUGGCAUGCCUUAGAGGAAAAAAUGCCUUAUCUGCACGUCUUCAUUUAGAAUAAUUUCUAUGUUAAUAUCUUAUUCCAUAAGAGUGUUCUGGCACAGGGCCAUGACUAUAGUGCCUGGUACCCAGUGGUAAUAUCACAGGAGUGAUGGUUGAUACUAACAGUGUGGAGGAGACAGUGCAAACCCAGAGUUAGAGAUGUGUGUUAUGUUGUCCAGUUCCUUUAAUGACCUGCUGGGAGGCUGGGUGCAUUUCUUGCACUCUUUUUUAUGUUUUCUCUUGAAUGGGAAUCACCACCCUCCCUCUCACCAUAGACUCUCAGUGGCUGUACUUUGACCACCUUAAUGUUUGUGUCCCUCCUGUCCGUUCAUGUUAGGACUUUCAUCAGCCUGUGUGCCAGUCUUCCUGCCACCCGUCUUAUUCCAUUGCUAUCCCUGUGUUGAGUUCAGAUUCUUUUUUCCCAAUCGCACAUGUGCUGUCUUGACUUAAGGCCUCUGGUGGCUCCUGGUGAGCUCUGAGAUGAAGUUACACUCGCUUUGGCUAUUGGGAUUCUAAGGAUUUUCACCUUGUGUUGUCCUCACCUCUUCUUGGAGCCUUUGUUGUUGCCCCUAAACCCUGCUUUCUUUCUACAUGCUUCUUUGCUUGAAAACACUUAUUUAAUAAUAAUAAUAAUAAUAAUAAUAUAUGUAUGUGUGUGUGUGUGUGUGUAUAUAUAUAUAUAUAUACAUAUAUAUAUAUAUAUCACCAUGAAAUCUUUUGUGACUCAAGUGAGAUUGGUUACUGCCUCUUUGAUUCCCAUCCUGCAGUGUGCGUCCUUCUCAGUUACUGUAAAGCCACUGUAUUUGCAUUUGUCUUCCUCUCCCUAAUCCGUUGCCUGAGGGAGUAUAUCUUGUACAGUUUUGCAUUUCCGUGUUUGGAUCAGUGGUUGAUGCAGGGAUCGGAGGAGGUUGUAGCAUUUGCAGUGUGACUUCCCGCUCAGAUAUACUUCCUUUCCAGUGUUGGAUUGAAAUGGCUUAAGGAGAAUUCAGAUUAGGAAUUGAUGAGAUAGGUAGACUAGAUAGAUCUUUACUUAAUUGAUGUGAUUGGAGGGCCAGUAGGAAGGUUUCUAGUCCCCAUACCCACCCAUAGAUUUCAUAGUUUGUUUUGUGGUGAAACUUCCAAGUCUCUGUGUCAGCAUGUCAUUGUCAUCUCUUUGUUAGAGAACUUCCUAAUUUUCAGUGGCUCAGAAACAACUGAUUGCCAAAGUUUGGGGAGUUGGGGAGAGCAAAGGACUGGUAUGUGAGGAUGUGUUCUCUCCCACAAAUAUAAGGUUCACUUUGGCUGUCGUUCUGUUCCGUUCAGAUUCGGUCCCUUUCUGAGCCCAAACUUCUGCUCUAUCUGCUGUCUUUGAGUUUACAACUUCUUUAUAUCCAUUUUUCCAGAAGCCAAAUAGUUAAGAUUAUGUGGGACAACACAACCACACUUGUGAGGUGUACAUAGGACUUGAACCUAAGGAGAUGAGAAAGUCUUUCUGCAAAAGGAAUUAUACAAAGAUAGAAAGCUGGUG
rnacentral:lncRNA from 1 species